AUUGAACGCUGGCGGCAGGCUUAACACAUGCAAGUCGAGCGAGCGGCGGACGGGUGAGUAAUGUCUGGGAAACUGCCUGAUGGAGGGGGAUAACUACUGGAAACGGUAGCUAAUACCGCAUACCAUCAGAUGUGCCCAGAUGGGAUUAGCUAGUAGGUGGGGUAAUGGCUCACCUAGGCGACGAUCCCUAGCUGGUCUGAGAGGAUGACAAGCAACACGGGAACUGUGACACGGCCCAGACUCCUACGGGAGGCAGCAGUGGGGAAUUGUGCACAAUGGGCGCAAGCCCUAUGCAGCCAUGCCGCGUGUGUGAAGAAGGCCUUGGGGGUGUAAAGCACUUGCAGCGAGGAGGCGUUACUCGCAGAAGAAGCACAGCAUAACUCCGUGCCAGCAGCCGCGGUAAUUC
rnacentral:rRNA from 1 species